rnacentral:rRNA from 1 species
CAAGUCGAGCGGAGGUCUGUAUGAGGUUGACUUGCACCUCUGAUGCUUAACGCGCGGACGGGUGAGUAUCACGUGGGUAACCUGCCUAUAAAACUGGGAUAACUUUCGGAAACGAAUGUUAAUACCGGAUACUCGAUAUGGUCGAGUGACUGAAUCAGGAAAGAUGGAGCAAUGUAUCACUUAUCCAUGGACCCGAGGAGCAUUAGCUAGUUGGAGAGGAAACGGCUCACCAAGGGGACUAUGAGUAGCCGACCUGAGAGGGUGAUCGGCCACACUGGGACUGAUACACGGCCCAGACUCCUACGAGAGGCACCUGUAGGGAAUCUUCCGAAAUGGACAAAAGUGUGACGGAGCAACGCCGCGUGAGAGAUGAAGGUUUUCCGAUCAAAAAGCUCUGUUGACAUGCAAGAAUGCUUGCGAGAGUAUCUGCUCUCAAGGAGACGGGACCUGAAAAAAAGGCCCCGGAUAACUACGUGCCAGCAGCCGCAGUAAUACGUAAGGGGCCAGCGUUGUCCCGAAUUAUUGCCUGUAAAGCUCGCUCACGUGGUCUUGUAAGACUGAUGUUUAAACUUGGGGGUCAACCCCAAAAUCCCAAGGAUAAACUGGAAAACUUCAGUACAGAAGAGGAAAGUGGUAAUUCCCACUAUGUGAGCGGUGAAAUGCGAAAGAGAUGUGGAGGAAACACCCAAUGAGNAUAACGCUGACUUUGUCGGCAAUG